GACGAACGCUGGCGGCGUGCCUAAUACAUGCAAGUCGAGCGAGCUUGCCUAGAUGAUUUUAGUGCUUGCACUAAAUGAAACUAGAUACAAGCGAGCGGCGGACGGGUGAGUAACACGUGGGUAACCUGCCCAAGAGACUGGGAUAACACCUGGAAACAGAUGCUAAUACCGGAUAACAACACUAGACGCAUGUCUAGAGUUUGAAAGAUGGUUCUGCUAUCACUCUUGGAUGGACCUGCGGUGCAUUAGCUAGUUGGUAAGGUAACGGCUUACCAAGGCAAUGAUGCAUAGCCGAGUUGAGAGACUGAUCGGCCACAUUGGGACUGAGACACGGCCCAAACUCCUACGGGAGGCAGCAGUAGGGAAUCUUCCACAAUGGACGAAAGUCUGAUGGAGCAACGCCGCGUGAGUGAAGAAGGGUUUCGGCUCGUAAAGCUCUGUUGGUAGUGAAGAAAGAUAGAGGUAGUAACUGGCCUUUAUUUGACGGUAAUUACUUAGAAAGUCACGGCUAACUACGUGCCAGCAGCCGCCGUAAGAC
rnacentral:rRNA from 1 species